rnacentral:rRNA from 1 species
CAUACCAGUCAGAAAGUGCCUGAUCUCGUCAGAUCUCAGAAGCCAUCCAGACUUGGGCCUGGUUAGUACUUGUAUGGGAGAUGAACUCGGAACCUCAGGU